GCCAGGCAUGGUGGUGUGUGCCUGUAGUUCCAGCUACUUGGAGGCUGAGGAAGGAGGCUGGCUUGAGCCCAGGAGUUGAAGGCCAACUUGGGUGUUAUGGGUUGCAUCU
rnacentral:sRNA from 1 species